rnacentral:rRNA from 1 species
UACAGAGGUCCCAAGCGUUGUUCGGAUUUACUGGGCGUAAAGGGCUCGUAGGCGGCCAACUAAGUCAGACGUGAAAUCCCUCGGCUUAACCGGGGAACUGCAUCUGAUACUGGAUGGCUUGAGUUCGGGAGAGGGAUGCGGAAUUCCAGGUGUAGCGGUGAAAUGCGUAGAUAUCUGGAGGAACACCGGUGGCGAAGGCGGCAUCCUGGACCGACACUGACGCUGAGGAGCGAAAGCCAGGGGAGCAAACGGG